UUGUGUUAGCGAUUGCGGCGGUAUCCUUUUUACAUGGUAAAAAGAUGAAGCCAAAAGCGCGACCGCUU
rnacentral:sRNA from 1 species